AGAGCGAACGCUGGCGGCAGGCUUAACACAUGCAAGUCGAACGGACCCUUCGGGGUUAGUGGCGGACGGGUGAGUAACACGUGGGAACGUGCCUUUUGGUUCGGAACAACACAGGGAAACUUGUGCUAAUACCGGAUGUGCCCUUCGGGGGAAAGAUUUAUCGCCAUUAGAGCGGCCCGCGUCUGAUUAGCUAGUUGGUGGGGUAAAGGCCUACCAAGGCUACGAUCAGUAGCUGGUCUGAGAGGAUGACCAGCCACAUUGGGACUGAGACACGGCCCAAACUCCUACGGGAGGCAGCAGUGGGGAAUCUUGCGCAAUGGGCGAAAGCCUGACGCAGCCAUGCCGCGUGAAUGAUGAAGGUCUUAGGAUUGUAAAAUUCUUUCACCUGGGACGAUAAUGACGGUACCCGGAGAAGAAGCCCGGCUAACUUCGUGCCAGCAGCCGC
rnacentral:rRNA from 1 species